rnacentral:rRNA from 1 species
AGAGUUUGAUCCUGGCUCAGGAUGAACGCUGGCGGCGUGCCUAAUACAUGCAAGUCGAGCGAACGGACGAGAAGCUUGCUUCUCUGAUGUUAGCGGCGGACGGGUGAGUAACACGUGGAUAACCUACCUAUAAGACUGGGAUAACUUCGGGAAACCGGAGCUAAUACCGGAUAAUAUUUUGAACCGCAUGGUUCAAAAGUGAAAGACGGUCUUGCUGUCACUUAUAGAUGGAUCCGCGCUGCAUUAGCUAGUUGGUAAGGUAACGGCUUACCAAGGCAACGAUGCAUAGCCGACCUGAGAGGGUGAUCGGCCACACUGGAACUGAGACACGGUCCAGACUCCUACGGGAGGCAGCAGUAGGGAAUCUUCCGCAAUGGGCGAAAGCCUGACGGAGCAACGCCGCGUGAGUGAUGAAGGUCUUCGGAUCGUAAAACUCUGUUAUUAGGGAAGAACAUAUGUGUAAGUAACUGUGCACAUCUUGACGGUACCUAAUCAGAAAGCCACGGCUAACUACGUGCCAGCAGCCGCGGUAAUACGUAGGUGGCAAGCGUUAUCCGGAAUUAUUGGGCGUAAAGCGCGCGUAGGCGGUUUUUUAAGUCUGAUGUGAAAGCCCACGGCUCAACCGUGGAGGGUCAUUGGAAACUGGAAAACUUGAGUGCAGAAGAGGAAAGUGGAAUUCCAUGUGUAGCGGUGAAAUGCGCAGAGAUAUGGAGGAACACCAGUGGCGAAGGCGACUUUCUGGUCUGUAACUGACGCUGAUGUGCGAAAGCGUGGGGAUCAAACAGGAUUAGAUACCCUGGUAGUCCACGCCGUAAACGAUGAGUGCUAAGUGUUAGGGGGUUUCCGCCCCUUAGUGCUGCAGCUAACGCAUUAAGCACUCCGCCUGGGGAGUACGACCGCAAGGUUGAAACUCAAAGGAAUUGACGGGGACCCGCACAAGCGGUGGAGCAUGUGGUUUAAUUCGAAGCAACGCGAAGAACCUUACCAAAUCUUGACAUCCUUUGACAACUCUAGAGAUAGAGCUUUCCCCUUCGGGGGACAAAGUGACAGGUGGUGCAUGGUUGUCGUCAGCUCGUGUCGUGAGAUGUUGGGUUAAGUCCCGCAACGAGCGCAACCCUUAAGCUUAGUUGCCAUCAUUAAGUUGGGCACUCUAAGUUGACUGCCGGUGACAAACCGGAGGAAGGUGGGGAUGACGUCAAAUCAUCAUGCCCCUUAUGAUUUGGGCUACACACGUGCUACAAUGGACAAUACAAAGGGCAGCGAAACCGUGAGGUCAAGCAAAUCCCAUAAAGUUGUUCUCAGUUCGGAUUGUAGUCUGCAACUCGACUACAUGAAGCUGGAAUCGCUAGUAAUCGU